UGACUGAGCUCUAAUGGGAUACUCUUAAUACUUCAGUAACUAACUGCUUGUCUUUUGAUUUCUCCUAAACAGGAAGUUCCUUGAGGACCUUGAGGACCUUGAACUUAUCUCUGUUAACAUCUUCUCCCUAACUUCGUAUUCCGCAACACAAGCACGUGGAAGAUAAACUAAAUUGCCUACGAAGACUGUCAGCUCACAAGAAAGCCUAUUCUCCUAAGACUUCUCGACCCACUCUGCAGGAUAUUAAAGGAAAAAUUCCUCCAAGAUAAACACUUCGUCUUUGAAUAAAGCAUUAUGCUUAUCUCA
rnacentral:lncRNA from 1 species